rnacentral:rRNA from 1 species
UACGGGGGGAGCAAGCGUUGUUCGGAUUUACUGGGCGUAAAGGGCGCGUAGGCGGCGCAACAAGUCACUUGUGAAAUCUCCGGGCUUAACCCGGAGCGGCCAAGUGAUACUGUCGUGCUAGAGUGCGGAAGGGGCUACUGGAAUUCUCGGUGUAGCGGUGAAAUGCGUAGAUAUCGAGAGGAGCACCUGCGGCGAAGGCGGGUAGCUGGGCCGACACUGACGCUGAGGCGCGAAAGCCAGGGGAGCGAACGGG